AGCAGAGUGGCUCAGUGGAAAGAGCACAGGCCUGGGAAUCAGAGGACCUGGGUUAGAAUCCAGCUCUGCUC
rnacentral:tRNA from 1 species